rnacentral:tRNA from 1 species
AGUGUCCAGGGAUGGGAAUCGAGCCCACAGUGUUCCGCUUACGGGGCAGAUGCCAUGUCCACUAGGCUCCUUCAC